GCUGAGUUGCUUGGAGGAGCUUGGAGAAGCAAGGCCCUGGAGUGCCAGGAGCCCUUCUCCCAAAGAUGGAGAAAUAAAUGAAGAUAUACAGGAAAAUAAGCAUUGGGUGUUUUGCAAUGGCUACACAAACUUGUCAUGUCUUCCAUGGUCAAGAAAAUAAUGUUUCUGUAAAACCAUUGAGGCUGCAGGGGAGCGAGACCCAGUCUUCAGAUUGGGAGGACACUGAAGACUGGCUUUCGGCUCACAGUUUGAAGUGUCAGAAACUCACCUUGGCUGACCUGAUAAGCCAGGGCACAGAAGUGCUGUAAGUCUGAAGCUGUUCCCCACACCCCCCACAGCUGCAGUGACACAUGCAGUCCCCUGGGCCCGAGAGACCCCCUCAUAAGGCUUUGCUUCUUCAGGGAGGAGGGCACCAAUGUCGUGCAGAAAAUACGUUUCUCCACCCAGAUCAUCCGCCACUUUGAAUCAAAGCUUUCUGACACUAUUGAAGUCUAUCAAGAGAGAAUUCAGUGGCUCACAGAAAACAGCAAGAAGAGCCUCAUCGAUGAACAGCUGAGCC
rnacentral:sRNA from 1 species